rnacentral:rRNA from 1 species
AGCAUAUCAUAGCGGAGGAAAAGAAACCAACAGGGAUUGCCUCAGUAACGGCGAGUGAAGCGGCAACAGCUCAAAUUUGAAAUCUGGCCUCGGCCCGAGUUGUAAUUUGUAGAGGAAGCUUUUGGUGCGGCACCGACCGAGUCCCCUGGAACGGGGCGCCAUAGAGGGUGAGAGCCCCGUAUGGUUGGACGCCUAUCCUCUGUAAAGCUCCUUCGACGAGUCGAGUAGUUUGGGAAUGCUGCUCAAAAUGGGAGGUAAAUUUCUUCUAAAGCUAAAUAUUGGCCAGAGACCGAUAGCGCACAAGUAGAGUGAUCGAAAGAUGAAAAGCACUUUGAAAAGAGGGUUAAAUAGCACGUGAAAUUGUUGAAAGGGAAGCGCUUGUGACCAGACUUGCGCCUCGUCGAUCAUCCGGGGUUCUCCCCGGUGCACUCGGCGGGGCUCAGGCCAGCAUCGGUUUUCGUGGGGGGACAAAGGCACCGGGAACGUAGCUCCUCCGGGAGUGUUAUAGCCCGGGGCGUAAUGCCCUCGCGGGGACCGAGGACCGCGCUUCGGCAAGGAUGCUGGCGUAAUGGUCAUCAGCGACCCGUCUUGAAACACGGACCAAGGAGUCAAGGUUUUGCGCGAGUGUUUGGGUGUAAAACCCGCACGCGUAAUGAAAGUGAACGUAGGUGAGAGCUUCGGCGCAUCAUCGACCGAUCCUGAUGUAUUCGGAUGGAUUUGAGUAGGAGCGUUAAGCCUUGGACCCGAAAGAUGGUGAACUAUGCUUGGAUAGGGUGAAGCCAGAGGAAACUCUGGUGGAGGCUCGCAGCGGUUCUGACGUGCAAAUCGAUCGUCAAAUCUGAGCAUGGGGGCGAAAGACUAAUCGAACCAUCUAGUAGCUGG